rnacentral:rRNA from 1 species
AUUGAACGCUGGCGGCAGGCCUAACACAUGCAAGUCGAGCGGAUGAAGGGAGCUUGCUCCUGGAUUCAGCGGCGGACGGGUGAGUAAUGCCUAGGAAUCUGCCUGGUAGUGGGGGAUAACGUCCGGAAACGGGCGCUAAUACCGCAUACGUCCUGAGGUAGAAAGUGGGGGAUCUUCGGACCUCACGCUAUCAGAUGAGCCUAGGUCGGAUUAGCUAGUUGGUGGGGUAAAGGCCUACCAAGGCGACGAUCCGUAACUGGUCUGAGAGGAUGAUCAGUCACACUGGAACUGAGACACGGUCCAGACUCCUACGGGAGGCAGCAGUGGGGAAUAUUGGACAAUGGGCGAAAGCCUAAUCCAGCCAUGCCGCGUGUGUGAAGAAGGUCUUCGGAUUGUAAAGCACUUUAAGUUGGGAGGAAGGGCAGUAAGUUAAUACCUUGCUGUUUUGACGUUACCAACAGAAUAAGCACCGGCUAACUUCGUG